GGAGUUAGCGACAGGGAGGGAUGCGCGCCUGGGUGUAGUUGUGGGGGAGGAAGUGGCUAGCUCAGGGCUUCAGGGGACAGACAGGGAGAGAUGACUGAGUUAGAUGAGACGAGGGGGCGGGCUGGGGGUGCGAGAAGGAAGCUUGGCAAGGAGACUAGGUCUAGGGGGACCACAGUGGGGCAGGCUGCAUGGAAAAUAUCCGCAGGGUCCCCCAGGCAGAACAGCCACGCUCCAGGCCAGGCUGUCCCUACUGCCUGGUGGAGGGGGAACUUGACCUCUGGGAGGGCGCCGCUCUUGCAUAGCUGAGCGAGCCCGGGUGCGCUGGUCUGUGUGGAAGGAGGAAGGCAGGGAGAGGUAGAAGGGGUGGAGGAGUCAGGAGGAAUAGGCCGCAGCAGCCCUGGAAAUGAUCAGGAAGGCAGGCAGUGGGUGCAGGGCUGCAGGAGGGCCGGGAGGGCUAAUCUUCAACUUGUCCAUGCCAGCAGCCCCUUUUUUUCCAGACCAAGGGCUGUGAACCCGCCUGGGGAUGAGGCCUGGUCUUGUGGAACUGAACUUAGCUCGACGGGGCUGACCGCUCUGGCCCAGGGUGGUGGCAGUGCUCCUUUUGGACUUUUCUCUAGUGUUCCUCAUGGCGAGCAGAUGGAACCGGGAGACAUGGAGUCCCUGGCCAGUGUGAGUCCUAGCAUUGCAGGAGGGGAGACCCUGGAGGAGAGAGCCCGCCUCAAUUGAUGCCUGCAGAUUGAAUUUCCAGAGGCUUAGGAGGAGGAAGUUCUCCAAUGUUCUGUUUCCAGGCCUUGCUCAGGAAGCCCUGUAUUCAGGAGGCUACCAUUUAAAGUUUGCAGAUGAGCUUAUGGGGGGCAAUCUUAAAAAGUCCACAGCAGAUGCAUCCGGCUCGAGGGGCCAUCAGCUUUGAAUAAAUGCUUGUUCCAGAGCCCAUGAAUGCCAGCAGGCACCCCUCCUUUCCUGGGGUAAAGGUUUUCAGAUGCUGCAUCUUCUAAAUUGAGCCUCCGGUCAUACUAGUUUUGUGCUUGGAACCUUGCUUCAAGAAGAUCCCUAAGCUGUAGAACAUUUUAACGUUGAUGCCACAACGCAGAUUGAUGCCUUGUAGAUGGAGCUUGCAGAUGGAGCCCCGUGACCUCUCACCUACCCACCUGUUUGCCUGCCUUCUUGUGCGUUUCUCGGAGAAGUUCUUAGCCUGAUGAAAUAACUUGGGGCGUUGAAGAGCUGUUUAAUUUUAAAUGCCUUAGACUGGGGAUAUAUUAGAGGAAGCAGAUUGUCAAAUUAAGGGUGUCAUUGUGUUGUGCUAAACGCUGGGAGGGUACAAGUUGGUCAUUCCUAAAUCUGUGUGUGAGAAAUGGCAGGUCUAGUUUGGGCAUUGUGAUUGCAUUGCAGAUUACUAGGAGAAGGGAAUGGUGGGUACACCGGUAGUGCUCUUUUGUUCUUGCUUCGUUUUUUUAAACUUGAACUUUACUUCGUUAGAUUUCAUAAUACUUUCUUGGCAUUCUAGUAAGAGGACCCUGAGGUGGGAGUUGUGGGGGACGGGGAGAAGGGGACAGCUUGGCACCGGUCCCGUGGGCGUUGCAGUGUGGGGGAUGGGGGUAUGCAGCUUGGCACUGGUACUGGGAGGGAUGAGGGUGAAGAAGGGGAGAGGGUUGGUUAGAGAUACAGUGUGGGUGGUGGGGGUGGUAGGAAAUGCAGGUUGAAGGGAAUUCUCUGGGGCUUUGGGGAAUUUAGUGCGUGGGUGAGCCAAGAAAAUACUAAUUAAUAAUAGUAAGUUGUUAGUGUUGGUUAAGUUGUUGCUUGGAAGUGAGAAGUUGCUUAGAAACUUUCCAAAGUGCUUAGAACUUUAAGUGCAAACAGACAAACUAACAAACAAAAAUUGUUUUGCUUUGCUACAAGGUGGGGAAGACUGAAGAAGUGUUAACUGAAAACAGGUGACACAGAGUCACCAGUUUUCCGAGAACCAAAGGGAGGGGUGUGUGAUGCCAUCUCACAGGCAGGGGAAAUGUCUUUACCAGCUUCCUCCUGGUGGCCAAGACAGCCUGUUUCAGAGGGUUGUUUUGUUUGGGGUGUGGGUGUUAUCAAGUGAAUUAGUCACUUGAAAGAUGGGCGUCAGACUUGCAUACGCAGCAGAUCAGCAUCCUUCGCUGCCCCUUAGCAACUUAGGUGGUUGAUUUGAAACUGUGAAGGUGUGAUUUUUUCAGGAGCUGGAAGUCUUAGAAAAGCCUUGUAAAUGCCUAUAUUGUGGGCUUUUAACGUAUUUAAGGGACCACUUAAGACGAGAUUAGAUGGGCUCUUCUGGAUUUGUUCCUCAUUUGUCACAGGUGUCUUGUGAUUGAAAAUCAUGAGCGAAGUGAAAUUGCAUUGAAUUUCAAGGGAAUUUAGUAUGUAAAUCGUGCCUUAGAAACACAUCUGUUGUCUUUUCUGUGUUUGGUCGAUAUUAAUAAUGGCAAAAUUUUUGCCUAUCUAGUAUCUUCAAAUUGUAGUCUUUGUAACAACCAAAUAACCUUUUGUGGUCACUGUAAAAUUAAUAUUUGGUAGACAGAAUCCAUGUACCUUUGCUAAGGUUAGAAUGAAUAAUUUAUUGUAUUUUUAAUUUGAAUGUUUGUGCUUUUUAAAUGAGCCAAGACUAGAGGGGAAACUAUCACCUAAAAUCAGUUUGGAAAACAAGACCUAAAAAGGGAAGGGGAUGGGGAUUGUGGGGAGAGAGUGGGCGAGGUGCCUUUACUACAUGUGUGAUCUGAAAACCCUGCUUGGUUCUGAGCUGCGUCUAUUGAAUUGGUAAAGUAAUACCAAUGGCUUUUUAUCAUUUCCUUCUUCCCUUUAAGUUUCACUUGAAAUUUUAAAAAUCAUGGUUAUUUUUAUCGUUGGGAUCUUUCUGUCUUCUGGGUUCCAUUUUUUAAAUGUUUAAAAAUAUGUUGACAUGGUAGUUCAGUUCUUAACCAAUGACUUGGGGAUGAUGCAAACAAUUACUGUCGUUGGGAUUUAGAGUGUAUUAGUCACGCAUGUAUGGGGAAGUAGUCUCGGGUAUGCUGUUGUGAAAUUGAAACUGUAAAAGUAGAUGGUUGAAAGUACUGGUAUGUUGCUCUGUAUGGUAAGAACUAAUUCUGUUACGUCAUGUACAUAAUUACUAAUCACUUUUCUUCCCCUUUACAGCACAAAUAAAGUUUGAGUUCUAAACUCAUUAGAAUUGUUGUAUUGCUAUGUUACAUUUCUCGACCCCUAUCACAUUGCCUUCAUAACGACUUUGGAUGUAUCUUCAUAUUGUAGAUUUAGGUCUAGAUUUGCUAGCUCCAAGUAAUUAAGGCCAUGUAGGAGAGCAUGGUAACCACAGAUAGAACUGGUAUUAUCCCAAGUGGUCUGCAGACUGCUGAGUGGGGAUGGGAUCUGCUCUCUGUUGAGAGUUGGUAAUCAUUGGUUUGAAAUGUGAUGAAACCACUCAAGCCAAUGAAGGUGGGUGUGUAGGUGGGGAGUACUUUGCCAUAAUAUUUUAAAACAUUACCUGGUUAGAGUUCUAAGUGGUACUUAUUUUUGUUUGGUUAGGGGAAAGCCUGAAUAAAAACAGAAAUGGACACAUAAUAUGCAUAUUCCAUAGUCUUUGGGAGGCUGGAAUGUGCCUGGGAUUUGGGUCUAAGUGUAUGCGUAAUUCUUACCUCACUAAAGAAUUUGCCUUGUUUUUUUCCUUUUGGUGAGUGACUAAAACGUCUGGGCUUCCCUGUGUGCGUGCUACAGUAAGCAAGCAGAGGCUGUGCAAAGGUGUGAGCAGGAUCACGUGGAAUCUGGAGGAUACAUCUUGGCUUGCAAACUGCCUCUGUCUCCUGGGUGGGACUGUUCUGUCCUUGCACUGCUGUUCUGUGUUACCUCUUGGGGUGUAAGGUUUUGCUUACAGGAGACAAACUUUGGGCGUAGAAUGGAAGCCACUGCCAGCCUCUGUGCUGAGAAGGAAGGUGCUUGUUUCAAAGGGAGCAGCAAGGGAGGCUUGUUCUACUCACCUGGGCCUGUUUGCCUGAGAAGGGGAGAUAAGGGCUGAACUGGGACUAGCCAGGGGGACCAACACAAAUGGUGGGGGAUCAUGACCUGAAGGAUUCUUUCCUUCCCAUGAGCUGCAGGGCUGGUUGCCGUCCUUGCAACUGUGUCUUAUUUGCCUGUGCCGUUAUAUCUUGGUGACCCCUCCACGUGUACACUACUGACAAACGGGUGGAGUGCUGGGGAGAAGUCACUGUGCCGCCCACCUAGUAAACCUUCUGUCUGUGCUCAUGGCAUCUCCAAGAUGGGGCACUGCUGUGUGCAGAAUCCAGGGUCCUCUUUCUGCUUGCAACUCCUUUCCCUGGAUGCCCCAGAAACAAUCCAGGCCUCCUUUCCUAUCUUACCCCUUUGCUUUGCUUUUUACCCCAGCACCUCUAUAACCGCCUUCUCUUCUUUUCAGAACUCCUUGUUUCUCGUCCUGUUUUUUAUGAUUACAAAACUCUUGCUUCCACCCUGGAAGAUAACUGCUAUAGAUGCCUGUAUGUAAAUGGUGCUGUCUCCAGCAACUGGCAUGCUGAAGAAGAAUUGAUUCACGGGGUAUAAAUGUUGGGGAUUGGAAGUGGGGAUGAAAUGGCACUUGUUGAUACAGGAGCAGAGAGGUGAGGCCGACUGCUGAAGACAGCUCGCCACCCUCCUUGCCUCCACUCCAAUCCAGGGGCUGGGGCCACAUUCUUUGCCUUCAUUUAUCCUCAGAUCAGGUGAGAUCGACAGGAGGUGUUGAUGGCAGUGCCAGCAAUUAUUGCUAAUCCGUUUGCAUCCUUAUGCAUAGAUCUGAAUUCAGACUUUGUGAAUUUCCAGAGGUGUGGGUAAUAUAAUAGAAUUCAGUGAGUGGGCAUGGCUGAUCUUGUGCAAAUUAAAAGUUAUGGGGCAUAAGAAUAGCAAAAGUUGAACUUCUUUUAAAAAGGAAAGUACCCUGAGAGCCAGUAUUGGUUGAGGCUCUUCAGUAUGCCCAGGUUGGCAGCACUGAGAACCGCAGGAACGGCCUGUUGUUACAAAAAGGAGAUUGACUCAGCUGCCCUUGGUGCAUCUGACUGACUAUGACUGCUGAGAGAUUCCAAGGACCCUUAAUGCCAGGGCUAACCUCUCCAUGUGCAGUGAGACCUCUGGAGGAAGUGUCAUCCUCUGGCUUUGUGUGGUACUCAUUAUGGUGCAGUGCGGGCAUGAAAUGAAGACACCCAAAUAGGCUUACAGAUACGAUAUGUUUUAAAUGUUCGUAUUUAACAAAAACAUACUGACACUGUUUGGAAAUGGCAACAGGAAGAUAGCAAAAUGAAUACUAACAUUACGAAAAGAUGAACAGGUACAUGUUCCAAGGCAGGUGGCUGUGAACUUCCUCUGAGUGAAGGCAUCCCCUCCAGCACCUUUCAGCCUGCUAGUUAGGACGACCCGCCGCCACCCUCCAGGACCUCCAGCCCUGCACUGCCUUUCCUCUCUUUUAAAUAAUUCUUCAUUGAGUUCUAAUAUGUAAAAAAAAAAAGUUUACUGUAAAGUUUGCAAAUAAGGAAAUUUUUUUUAAAAGUCCUCAGUAAUCUUACCAGUAACAAUUGUUAUGGGCACAUUUGCUUUUGGAAGAUUUCUUUUGUAUGCAUGGGAUAAGUACAUUUUUAAACAAAAAUGGGAUUAUGCCAUAAAUUCUAUUUUGUGACUUUAAUAUAUAGUGAACACCUUUUUUAAUGAUGACAGGAUGUUCCCUUGCAUGGCUGUAUCAAUUUAAACAAUCUUGUUUCAAUGGGCAUACAGGGUAUUUUCUAGUUUUUUUUUCCUCUUAGAAAAUAAUACUUGCGAUGACUUUCCUUGUAGCUCAGACUUUUUCACGUCUGUUGUUAUCUCUUUGGGAAUGCUGAAUACAUACAUUUCGAGAAGGAAAUGACUGUUAAACUCUUAAGACUUCAGGUUCAUAUUGCUAAACUGCCCAGCAGGGAGGGAUUUUUUCAAUUAGUGUUCUCACUGGUGAGGCAAACCUGAUGCCUUCCCCUCUUCCUCAGAACCGGCUUUAUCACAUUGAAAACCUUUGCUCCUCCGACGGAUCGAGUCUGCUUUCCCUCUGGAUGUGAGCAUUGCUUUGUCUGCUGGUGACUGAACAUCUCUACCUUGUGUCAAUUGGCCAUUUGUGGUGUGUGUGUGUGUGCGUGUGUGUGUGUGUGUGUGUGUAUGAUUUUCUAAUUCCUAGUCAUUUUUCUAUUGAUUGUUUUGCAAAAGCCAUUUACAUCUUAAGGAUAUUGAUAAUCUUUUGUUAUAUUUGAUGCAAAUAUUUUUUUCCAGUUUAUAGGUUGCCUUUUAAUUUUGUGUUUCAGGUAGAUAAAAGUUAAACGAUUUUCUUAGGUUAGUUUAUCACUGUGGUUUCUGAACUUGUUAUGUGUAGAUCUUUUCCACCCCAAGAGUACAUAAAUAUUAAUCCAUACUUUCUUAUGGAACUUGUAUGGUUUCGUUUUUUACAUUUAAACCUUCUUCCCCGUGGUGUGUGUUGUGGAAUCUGUGUUUGUGUGAGGAGGGGCAUGGUGCUCUCAGAACCCACCUCCUGUGGCCAGAGAGCCCUGUCCUGUGAGGGUGGUUGUCACAGUGGCAGGGUUCAAUUCAGAAGACCUUGAGGGCAGGCUGAUGUUUCCUGAAUGGGCCCCUGGUUGUUGCUUGUCCCUGACUCUCCAUUUCCCCAUCUGAGUGGAUUUGGACCUAAUAGGGCACUGGAGCUGGUUCGAAUCCUGACUGGACUACUUGGCAACUUUAUGUCUGGGAGCAAGUUACUUAACCUCCCCAAGCCUGUGUCUGUGAAAUGCGGGUAAAUGAAUGUAGAUGUUUGGCAGCAGCUACUCCUUGUUGAGCUCUCACAGUGAACUCUCCUGCCUCUGCCCUCCUUCCCCGCCUCCCCUGGUGCCUAGCGUCAGGUCUAGCCACUUCCUCCUGGGCCCCUCUCCCUUUUCUGUGGCUGGCUGCCUGCCCGCCUGGCGCUGGACCUUUCAUGUAACGGGAAUCAGCAUGUAUAUUCUGGUCUGGUCUGUUUCUACACUUAAUUUUGUUUCCAGUAGUAUUUCCCUGUACCGGCAGAGUUCACAAACACAUUUGAAGAGGCUUUUUCUCAGGAUUCUUAACCUUCCCAAAGGAAGUCCCAUGGAUGGGUUUCUAGAAGUCUAUAAAUGCUCUGAAAUUGUAUUUUUCUGUGGAAAGCAUAACUUUCAUCUGCUUGUUCGUGCUCAAAAAAGAUCAUGAAUGAAUGAUUGCAUGAUUUUAUGCCAUUGUGCUUAUACUAAAGGAUAUGUAGCCCAUCUCUUGAGCUGUUAAACUGUUUUGACUACUUUAAAUCGUGCAGCUGUGAGCAUCUCUGUAAAUUUAGUGUACACAUGUAUCCCCUGGAGUGGCAUUGCCUCGGCAGUGAGCACUUAUGGUUUUAUAACUCUCUUCACAGACUCAAAUGACUCCAGAAAGCUACACUUCCUGUUGUGAGUAUAUGAUAUCCAUUUCCCUACAUAGCCACUAACAUCAGGUUUUUACAAUUUUAUUUAUUUCUUGCUACUUUAAGAAAUUUUUGUGGUGAAAUACAUAUAAUAGAAGUUGACUAUCUGAAUCAUUUUUAAGUAUACAUUCAGUAGUGUUAAGUAUGUCGCCAUUGUUGUACAACCAAUCUCCAGAACUUUUUCAUCUUGCAAAACAAACUCUGUACCCAUUAAAUAACAUUAAACAUUCCAUUCCCUCCAGCCUCAGCAACCCCAUUCUACUUUCUGUUUCUGUGAGUUUGACUAUUCCAAGCACUUCAUAUCAGUUAAAUCAUGAAGUAUUUGUCUGUCUGUGACUGGCUUAUUUCUCUGAGCACAGUGUCCUCGAGAUGCGUCUAUGUUGUAGCAUAUGUCAGAAUUUCCUUCCUUUUUAAAAGAUCCAAAUAAUAUUCUUAUUUUAUAUCUUUUUUUUAUCCAUUCAUCCAUUAGUGGACACUUGGGUUGCUUUUGGCUAUUGUAAAUAAUGGUGCUAUGUACAAAUAUCUAUAUUAUUGUAUUUACAAGUAUAAUGCUGUAAUGUACACACAUCUUUUUGAGAUCCUACCUUCAGUUCUUUUGAGUAUAUAGCCAGAAGUGGUAUUACUAAAUCUUACGAUAUUUCUAUUUUUAAUUUAUUGAGGAACCACUGUAGUUUUUCAUAGCAACUGCACCAUUUUACGUUCUCACCAAGAGUGCACAAGGGUUCCGAGGUUCCCACAUCCUCCCCAACACUUGUUAUUUUCUGCUUUUUUUAGAUUGCAGCCAUCAUAGUGGGUGUGAGGUGACAUUUCAUUGUGGUUUUGAUUUGCAUUUCCCUAAUGAGGAGUGAUGCUGAGCAUCUUUUCAUAUGCUUACUGGUCAUUUGUAUGUUGUCUUUGGAAAAAUGUCUAUUCAAGUCCUUUGACUAUUUUAAAAAUUGGGUUAUUAGAGUUAUCGUUGUUGUUGACUUGUAGGAGUUUCUUUCUAUAUUCUGGAUAUUAAUCCCCUAUCAGAUAUAUGAUUUGCAAAUAUCUUCUCUUAUUCCAUAAGGUUACUUUUUCACUUUGUUGAUUGUGUUCUUUGAUGUAUAGAAGUUUUUAGUUUUGAAAUAGUCUAAUUUAUCUGUUUUUACUUUUGUGGUCUGUGCUUUUGGUGUCAUAUCCAAGAAAUCCUUGCCAAAUCCAACGUUAUAAGGUACUUUUAAGGUAUUUUAGUUGUCUUAGUCUAUAUUUCUGUACUCACCUUUCUUUAUCCACUCAUCAGUUGAUGGGCAUGUAGGUUGGUUCCAUAUCUUUGCAAUUCUGAAUUGUGCUAUGAUCAGGUGUCUUUUUAGUAUAAUGAUUUACUCUCCUUUGGGUAGAUACCCAGUAGUGGGAUUGCUGGAUCGAAUGGUUUUUAUAAUUUUCUAUUUUACCACAGUUUCUCUCUGCAUUUUUCCUCUUUGACCACUAACCAUGUGAAAUUCUCAUAUUGACCUUUAUAAUGAUCAUGAACUCUUAGUAUCAUUGGGAAGGCCACAUUUGCCACUUAUGAUUGUAAACCUUAUCCUCCAUUUUUCCUGUUAUUGUUGGUGCAAAAAGCACCUAUUAUACCAGGACUUUAAAAAUCAGUCUGAUAAGUCUUUGAUAAGUCUAAUAAUAAUAACUGAUAAGUCCAUUGAAUUUGCUUCUGAUUACUUUUUCUUUAGUAGCUAAACAUGUAUGUACUCCUAUGAUUACAAUGAACACUCCUCUCCAUUUAAAUUAAUUAUUUACAUUGAUGAAAUAGCAAAAUGUUAAUGACUAAAUACUGUCUUGGUUUUUUCGUUCCAGGUCAGUCAAUAUUAACUUCUUAUAAUUUUCUUUUUUUUCUUUAUGUGUGUGUGUGUGUGUAUUUUUUUUUUUUUAAUUUCAAUGGCUUUUGGGGUACAAAUGGCUUUUGGUCAUAUAGAUGAAUUCUACAGUAGUGAAGUCUGAGAUUUUACUGCACCGGUCACCUGAGUAGUGUACAUUGUACCCAAUAUGUGGUUUUUUAUACCUUGCCCCCCUCUUACCCUCCCCACUUUGAGUCUCUAGUGUCCAUUAUGUCACUCUGUAUACCUUUUUGUACCCAUAAGUUAGCUCUCACUUAUAAGUGAGAACACACAGUAUUUGGUUUUCCAUUCCUGAGUUGCUUCACUUAGAAUAAUAUCCUCCAGCUCCAUCCAAAAUUGCUGCAAAAAAAAAAAAAACCACAAACAUUAUUUUGUUCUUUUUUAUUGCUAAGUCAUAUUCCAUGGUGUAGAGAUACCACAUUUUAUUUAUCCACUCACUGGUUGAUGGGUUGGUUCCACAUCUUUGCAAUUGUGACUUGUACUGCCAUCAAGUGUCUUUCUGGUAUAAUGACUUCUUUUCCUUUGGGUAGAUACCCAGGAGUGGGAUUGCUAGAUCAAAUGGUUCUUAACAUUUUCUCUCUGGAUCUAUUUCUGGAAAUUUUAGGCUCCAGUUUUUGUUGUUGUUGUUAAUAAAAUGCAAUGGAAUGUAAUGAUCAUCACUUUUCAUUAUGCUUUAAAAUCUGGUAAAUGGAGGCUAGAACACUCCUGUAAGGCAAGAAUAUUCUCUCUGUUGGAACUCAAAUACACAGAACUGGGUAAAUCUCAAUCUUAAUCUUUGAUUCAGGACACAACAUGGCUCUCUUUUACUUGCUUUCUUUAAUUGUUUUUUAAUAAUGUGGUAAGCAUUUCUGAAUCUCCUAUCCAAUACAAAAACUAGGACAAUACAGACAGUAACUCCUAUGGUUACAAUGAACACUCCUCUCCACUUAAAUUAAUUAUUUACACUGAUGAAAUUGAAAUAGCAAAAUUUUAAUGACUAAAUACUGUCUUUGAUUUUUUGUUCCAGGUCUGUCAAUAUUAACUUCUUAUAAUUUUCUUUUUUUUUCUUUAUGUGUGUGUGUGUGUGUGUAUAUAUAUAUAUUUAAUUUCAAUGGCUUUUGGGGUACAAAUGGCUUUUGGUCAUAUAUAUGAGUUCUACAGUAGUGAAGUCUGAGAUUUUACUACACCUUCCACUUAUGUGGUCCCACACCACCCGCCUCCCCUGCCGCCUCCUGCCACCCCCUAGGCCAAGGUAAUAAUCAUCCUGAAUCCUGGGUUUAUCUCUCACUUGCUUUCUUUUCAUAUAAUUUUGCAAAAGAAUCUGAUCUAAAUGUGUUUUUCAGAGUAUAUAUUUAUAUUUUAGCUGUUCUUAGAGAAAAUUUAUUAUUUUGCAUGUAAUCUUAUGGAACAUUCUCAUUUAAUACCAUGGUAAGAUUCAGCCCUUGCCCAGGGGAUAGUUCAUUUAGUUUGUUUACUGGAUAGAGCUCAUCAUGUGACUAUACCUCAGUUAGUUUAUCAGUUCUCCCAUCCAUGGUGACUAGGUUGCCUCUCAGCCUCUCAACAACACUGUUUCUCAGUGUCCUUGUAGAAGUGAUAUGUGGGUGUUUUCUCCUUACACAGAGUUGAAAGGUGACGACAACAACGUUGGCACUACCAAUCCCCCACCCUCCAGAGGGGUAACCAGUGUUACCAGUUUGCUGUGUUUCCUGCUACACCUCGCCUUAUUCACUUCCAUUUGUAUCUGAAAAACGUGUUGCAUGGUUUCUUUUCUAUAGAAGUGGUAAAAUGCUAUUGUGUCCUGUACAUUAUUGAUUACUUUUUUUCAUUUAACAGUAGGGAGAUGCCUGGGAGUACACAGAGAACUGCCCUCAUUGUUUUCAACUUCUGCACUGUAUGUCUGUGAGUUUAGCCAUUCUGCUGUUAAUGGAAAUUUACAGUAUUCUAAUCUUUUGAUAUUACAAACAGUUCUGUGCGAUCAUCGUCAUACACAACCCCUUGUGCACAAUGCAUGAGUGUUUCUCAGGGUAGGUACCAAGAAGUGAAAUUCCUGGGUCAUAGGGCGUGAGUCCGACAUUUUUCUCCAUUCUGCCCUGUUGCCCUCCAGAGUGGGUGUCCAGCUUUGCAUACCUAAGUAUGAGAGUAUCUGUUGUUCAUAUCCUCUACGACGCUCCAUAUAUGAAACUUAAGUUUCUGCUAGUUGCCAUCUUUGAUCUAUCAUGUAUGCAGUGACCUACUAAGACUGUAAUUGGUACAGUAGAUUCUUGUCAUCUGUGUGUGAAUUUAGCAUUCAUGGGCUUAAUGCUGACAAGGCCCCCAGGGUCCAAGACAUAUAAUCAUGUAUAAUUUUGUCAAGGUAUAAUUUUUUAAAUUGCUUUUGUCAUGUGUCUGCUGGUGAUGCCCAACCCAGUGCUCUGCACCCAGGUCACACUGUGGCUUUGUCCUCUGCUUAUGCCUGCAUUGCAGCAACUGUCCUGAAGAGACCAAAAUUAUGCAGAUUUAGGUAAGUCCAUGGCUAAUGUUAUUAUAUUAUGUGCUAUUGUAAUGGAUGGGGCUGUGGAGUGUAUGAAUUUAUAAAUCACUGGUCUUGUAAUUAAAAUUCAAACACUAUAGAAAAAGGCCAUGUAGAAGAUAAAAGUUCCUCUAUAAUCCCGGACCCCUAAGAUAACUACUAAUGACAACUUCAUUUAUAUUCCUUCAGACAUUUUCUGGCUGUGGAUGUACUAAAAUGUAUCCUAUUAUUCUCUGCCCUAAAAUGGAAUCAUACAAGGUGUACUGUUAUUUUUAUGGCUCUAUAACAUGUCAUAUUGUACGUGUUGGUAUGGUCAUUUUAACCAUUUUUCUAGUGAUGGCUUUGAGGUUAUUUGCAGUUUCCUAGCCAUCUCAAAGUGUGCUGCGGGGAUCUCUUUUGCAUCCCUCUGGGUGCAGAGCUGAGGCACCCAGAGGCAGUGUCCAGAGGAGGCAGCAUCUGUAGGUGUCUUCACCUGCUCUGGCUCUUGGCACAUCUGGUUGGUGACACUGUUUUGUGAGAUGGGUUGAAAGCACGUGCUGCCAAAAUAGAAUAAUGUUGGUCCUCUCCUCAUGUGCCGUGGAACUGGGGUAAAACUGCGUAGUGGCUGCAGCUGCCUGUCCAUACCGGAAUCGAGUAUAACACGGUGCCUGGCUUAGCACAAAACAGUAGUGGGUCCUGCAGGCCCCAGAGUCUAAUUCCUGGUAUUCUUUCCCCUACACAGAUUAAAUAAACCAAAAACAAACUAUUCUAGGAAAGCGUCUGUGACAUUUGUAAAAAGUGGUAUUUAAUGAUCUUUUAUUCACUUGUCUGUUUAGUUUGUUGAAAUCUUAAGUGGCAUCCUGGUCUGGGAAGGAGUGCUGUCUGCGCCUGCCCUCCGCUGGGCACAGCGUGGCUGCUUCAGGGGCUAAGCACACACUUUCUGUCUUCUAAAGGGCCGCCACAUGCCAGGAGCUCAGGUGUGAGCCCGGCUCUGGCUCUUACCUCAUAGGGUCACUCAUAGGGGCACAGGGAGCAGAACAUUGUACACAGCGAGGCACCACCCGGCUUGGCAUCUGCCUCGGUGGACUUACUACCUCUAGAAGGAAAUACCUGAGUUCCUCUGGCCUCAGCUCCUAGAGUGACUGGUGUGCUGUCCCUGUUACUCUUCUGUCAAGGUGACAACUGUGUGACCCAUCAUCUGUGUGUCAAAGCAAGGCCCUGCCUGGGCCUCUGCUCCUGUGCUGACCCCAAAGGCAAAUGCUUUGCUAGUUUCCUUCCAGUUAAUUUCACCUAUGAAUAGAUGUGUGAAAACUGUUCAAAGCCAUACCUGCACAUGUUUGAACUUCAAACCCUGUGGGUGAUUCAGUGGCAUCUUUCUCUAACCCCCAGCCUCCCUUCCCACAGAGGCCACCGUCAUGGCCAGUUGCUGCAGUUUCUUUCCAGAGAACCUGUGUAUGUGUAAAGCUGUACAGGCGUGGGUACACCACACAGCCUGUCUUGCACUGUGGACUGUUGAGUUACUAGUACAUCUAGGUAAGCACCGCAUAUCUGUAUUCAUGUCUGCCUUGGUCUUUUCAACAUCUGUGUGGUAGCCGUGUUUGAAUUACCCAUUCCCUUUUUGGGGAACCAUUAAGUUGUUUCAGCAAUUUUUACUGUAGAUAAGGCUAUACCGCAUAUCUGUGUACAUGGGUUUUUAUGUACAUGGGCAAGUAUAUCUGUGAGAGAAAAGUUUCCUCAGGAGGAAUUCUGGGCACAGCAUGUGUAAAUUUCUAAAUAUGAUGGACACCCCCAGCUUCCACCUCAAGGAGGUUGGUCCCAUUGACAUUUCCCCACACCUUCACCCAGGCUGUGCCCUUAAACUUGGUUAUUUGUCAAUGUGAGAAGUGGAAAAUAGUAUUUAAUUGUAGUUUGGAUUUGUAUUUCUAUUGGGUUGUAUACUUACUGAUUAAUAAUAAGAGCUCUUUACAUAUUAAGGAAAUUAACCCUUUUCAAAUACAUUCCUAUUUCUCACUAAUCUUUAAGUUUUAUUGUAAUAUUUUGCUCUUUAGUUUAUAUAUAUAUGUAUAUAUAUAUAUAUGUAUAUAUAUAUAUAUACAUAUAUAUAUACAUAUAUAUAUACUAAUUUUCUUUUAUGGUUCCUGGAUUUUGUGAGUAGUUUGAAAAGGCUAAUCCAGCUGAAGAUUUUGUUGUUGUUGUUAAACCCCAUGUUUUCUCCUAACUCUUUUUAUUUUUAUUUUGGAGGACUCUAUCUAGACUUAAUUUUAGCAUAACAAGUGACAGGGUUAGUUAGCCUGUUGUCCUUACACCAUUUUCUGGCUAAUACAGCUAUUAACUAUUGAUCUGUCUAUUCACGUGCCAGUUCCUAAUGGUUUUACAUAGUGUAAUCUGCACUUCAAAAUAGCGAAGGGAAGCCCUACCUCAUUAUUCUACUUUUCCAGAAUUCUCCUGGCUAUUCCAGGCUGCAUGUUUACCUUAACCUUCCCUGUGAUGUCUUCAUGCCGUUGUCUUCUUAUGCAAGAAUAAGGUACGUCUUUCCAUCCACUCACGUCUAUUUAAUUUGACUUUGCAUUACACAGAAAGCUGGUCUUGGUCUGUCUACCUCGGCAUCUAGUUGUCCUCACUGCCCCCUAGCCGACCCCACCCCAUCUGACUGACUACCCCAUCACAGAGUACUUUUAUUUACGUUUUGCUCUGCCUAAUGGUUACUUGAUACUGUCACGCCGACAGUGUCCAGUUCAGUGGUCUUUGCAGUUGAAAUGCUCCCGUACACACUGUCUUGUUAAAAAUGCCAGUAAGUUCAUACAAACCCAGCUUGCACCCAAGGUCACAUUCAGAGAGCGUAGGGCUGGGAUGGGUUGUUUUCCAAGCUUCUGCCACUGUGUGGCUAGCUCUUCCCACUGGGAAGUUCUGUGUACCCGGAAUGUCGGAGUGGAGUCCUGUUCUAGUGUCCAGCACCUGACCCUGUGCCCAACCCCUCAACAGCCUAUUCCUGCUGUCCACAGCCUGCUGGAACUUUUUACAAAAUAUGUUGCCAUGCUGGACCCUGGGCACUGGACAUAAGCCCCCUGGCAGCCUUUUUCAUGUCACCCAAAGGGGUAAUUGUCCUACUGGUGGUCUGUAAGAUGAGUUAGGGUGACUUGCUAAUAGACAUUGUAAAUCUUAAUAUUUAUGUAUGUAUUUUAUUAUUACCGGUUUUCCAUUUAUGAUGGUAAUAUUGUUUCUUCUAAGAAUAUUUAUUUUUCCUUCUAAAUAUUGAGAUAAAAUUCAUGCUUUUGAAAUGUUCUAUUCAGUGGCUUUUAGUAUAUUUGCUAUGUUGUGCAACCAUCGACACUAUCCAUUUCUAGAACUUUUUCGUCAUCCCAAACAGACGCUCUGUAUUCAUAAAAAAAUAACUUCCUACCUGUCUCUCCCCCUAGUCUUUGGUAACCUUUGUUAUACUGGUAAACUUUGUUGUGCUCUCUGUCUGUGUGAAUUUGCCUAUUCUAGGGGCCUCAUAUAAGUGUAAUCAUACAGUAUUUGUCUUUUUGGGUCUGUCUGAUUUCACUUAGCGGGUUUUCAGGGUUCAUUCAUGUUGCAGCAUAUAACAGUACUGCGUUCCUUUUUCUGGCUGAAUAAUAUUCCACUGUAUGGAUAGACCCCAUUUUGUUUAUUCACACAUCAUUUGGACAUUUGGAUUAUUUCUGGUUUUUGGCUAUUAUGAACAAUGGUGCUAUGAACAGUUGCGUACAAGUUUUUGUGUGAACAUAUGUUUUCAAUUCUCUCAUUAUAUACCUAGGAGUAGAAUUACUGGGUCAUAUGGUAACUGUAUAUUUUUGAGGAACUGCCAAACUAUUUUCCCACGUCCAUGCACCAUUUCACAUUCCCACCAGUAAGUAAGAGGGUUCCAAUUUCUGCGCAUUCUUGCCAACACUAGUUAUUAUCUGACUUUCUGGUUAUAAUCAUUCUAAUGAGUGUGAAGUAGCCUCUGGUGUCAUUUGGAUUUGCAUUUCUCUGAUGAGUGAUGCUAUCAAGCACCUUUGCUGGUGCUGUUGGCCAUAUGUGUAUGUUCCCUGGAGAAGUGUCUGUGCUGAGCCUUGGCCCACUUUUUAAUUAGGCGUUUGUCUUUUUAUUACUGAGUUGUAAGAGUUCUUUAUAUAUUCUGGAUUCUAGACCCUUAUCAGAUACAUGGUUUGCAAAUAUUUUCUCCCAUUCUGUGGGUUGUGUUUUCACUUUAUCGAUAAUGUCCUUAGACAUAUAAUAAAUUUGUAUUUUAAAAGUGACUUGAUUUGGCUGUGCAAGGUGGCUCACGCUUGUAAUCCCAGCACUUUGGGAGACUGAGGUGGGUGGAUCAUAUGAGGAGGCUAGGAGUUCGAGGUCAGCCUGGCCAGCAUAGCGAAAACUUGUCUCUACUAAAAAUACAAAAAUUAGUCAGGCAUGGUGGUGCACGUCUGUAAUACCAGCUUCUCAGGAGGCUGAGGCACGAGGAUCACUUGAACCCAGGAGGAGGAGGUUGCAGUGAGCUGAGAUCAUGCCAGGGCAACAGAAUGAGACUUUGUUUAAAAAAAAAAAAAAGUGACUUGAUUUAAGGGAAAAAAUGACUGGCUAUAUUCAGUCAGAUAUGGCAAAAAGUCUCAAGGUGUUAAUGUGAAUGAUUAAGGUCUUGGGGGGGGUGUCCCCUAUCAGACUACAGGUGUUUAGAGGCACAGAAAAAGGUGCAGUUGGGUUCUUAAUGUGAAAUGAUGAGAAGCACAACUCCAGUGUGUCUCUUUGUGUAGAAUGUCAGCAGACACCCCCUGCUAGAUGUGCUGGAUCAUGGGAAAGCAUUUCCAUUUGUUACUAGAUUGUUCAGAAGUUUUAAUUUAUGAUGGGUGUGGUGGCUCAUGCCUGUAGUCCCAGCACUGUGGGAGGCUGAGGCAGGAGGAUCAUCUGAGGCCAAGAGUUCAAGAUCAGCCUGGGCAACAUAGUGAUACCCUAUCUCUUAAAAAAGAAGAAGUUUUUAAAUUUGAAAUAAUAAUAGGUACUGGAUUUAUGCAAAUGUCUUUUCUGCGUCUUUUGAGAUGAGUAUCAGGUUUUUUUUUUUCCUUUUAUCAUCUGAUGAUGAACUUAAUGUUUCCAUUUGUAUUAAUGGAAUACUAAGUCCCUCUGUGAUUUCUGAACCAAGCUAUUCCUAGGCCUGAGUUUUAUUUUGUUGACACAGAAAUAAAUUAGAAGGCCAAGCGUGGUGGCAUGUGCCUGUAGUCCUAGUUGCUGAGGUAAGAGGAUUGCUUGAGCCCAGGAGUUCAAGGCUGCAGCAAGCUUUGAUUGCGCCACUGCACUCCAGCCUUGGCGACAGACUAAGACGCUGUCUCAAAAAAAAACAAAAACGACAAAAAAAAAACAAAACAGAAAAAAUAAACUAAGGCAAUGACAGUCCCUGGCAAAUGCUGGGAGGGAGGCAGCAGUGGUCAGGGAAGGUAACCCUGAAGCAGGACUUGUAAAGCAAAUAAGAUUGGGAGGCCAAGGUGGGUGGAUCACGAGGUCAGGAGUUCGAGACCAGCCUGGCCAACAUAGUGAAACCCCGUCUUUACUAAAAAUACAAAAAAAUUAGCCAGGUGUGGUGGUGGGUGCCUGUAGUCCCAGCUACUUGGGAGGCUGAGGCAGGAGAAUCUCGAACCCAGGAGGCGGAGGUUACAGUCAGCUGAGACCGCACCAUUGCACUCCAGCCUGGGUGACAGAGCAAGAUUCCGUCUCAAAAAAAAAAAAAAAAAAAAAACCAAGAAGAAAAGGAAUGAAUUAGAACUUCUUCUGCUUGGACUUAAGGGCAUCAUCAGGCAGGUUUUGGGUAGGAUAGCAGGGGAGGCAGAGACAUAGUCGGGGUCAGUGGUCAUGAGUGUGGCUUUGAGCCCAAAAACUUGGUUUCUGUUCCCUACUUUGCCACUCAGUAGUGCAUGACUUUGGCCAAAUUUCUUAAAUUCAUGAAGCAAGUUUCCGGGUGAAUGAAAUGGGGAUAAAAAUAGUGUUCAAACCUAUCCGUUGGUUUGUGUGAAACUGAAAUGAAUAGUAUCGUGCAGGUACUUGUGAGCAAGGGGAGCUGCUGUUUCCUGUCCCUUUAUGAUGGGAAAUAUCUAGACAAGUUCCCAACCCUCUGCACUGCAGGCUGCAUGGCACGGAGGGUCUUGUAACACCAGCUGGGGCUGGCCUUCUUUUAGGAGCUUCAGUGGUUCUGAAAACUUUUAUUUGUUUGUUUGUUUUAGUAGAUGUGGGGUCUUUCUGUGUUGCCCGGACUGGUCUCAAACUUCUGGACUCAAGUGAUCCUCCCCCGCUCAACCUCCCAAAGUGUUGGGAUUACAGGUGUGAGCCACUGUGCCCAGCCUUGAAAACUUUUUCAGGUUCUUCCAGGGUUACUGGGCUAUUAAAUAUUUCUAUUUCAUUAUAAGUCAGUUUUUCAAAGUUAUAUUAUCUUAAUUACCUUUUUUAUAUGUAUUAGUGUAGAGUAGCAUUUUAUAUUUUGAUAUCCUCCUUAUGCAUAGUUUUUCACUUUUUAUUCCUAGUUUUUCGUUUUUAAUAAGACUUUCAAGAAAUUUAUUUUAUUGGCCUUUUGAAAAAAGCAGCUUUAGAUAAAGUAAGCAGUUCUGCUUUCAUUUUAUAAUUUAUUUCUACUUUUGUUUCAUUAAUCUUUUCCUCCGGCAUGCCUUGGAUUUUGUUGUGUUACUCUUUUUCUAGAGGCUCGCAUUGUGUGUCUGGUUCACUUAUGAUCACGCUUGCCUACUUUUAAGAAUGGAAGAGGGGAGGUGGAGGGUGGCUGCACAGUCGAGGGUGUGAGGCAGUCUUGCUCUAGCCCCACCAUGCCCUCAGCCCGCUGUGGCCACGCUGGUUCCUCAAUUGCUGGGGCGUGCAGUGUCUGUAAGGGAGGCUACUGAUGCCAUCCGAGGAAGAUGUAAGGUUUCGUGUGGGCAGCGAGAGCCUAGCAGGCAUGUGGGGUGCCCAGCAAAGGGUAACAGUGGACAGUUGUUGCCUCAUUCCACAGAGUUUUGAUUUUUUUUUUUUUUUUAAUGGUCACUCCAUCAACAUCCCCCAUGGCCAGAGCCUGAGCUGGUCCCCAGAGACACAGGCAUUCAGCUGACAGCCUCGCCUUCACGCUGCUGCUGUUCUCAUGGGGGACAGGCCUCAGGUGGCAAUGCACAAAUCAUUAGUUAAGGGCAGUUGUGACAGUUACCAAGGAGUGUAGUCCCCCGCCCCCCGCCCAGUGAAAACAGCCCUAACCAGGGGUGGGGACCUUUGGGCUCUGACCCGAAGGGUAGGAGAAGCUGGAAGGACAGCAUUCCUGUCUGCGAAGGCAGGAGCAAAGCUGCCAGGCUAUGAAGGAAAUGGCUGGAGCCUGAAGUCAUGCAAGCUGGGGCUGGCAGGGACAGGGCCAACUUCCAGGCCUGGGGGCCACCAUGAGGAUUCAGGACGUGACCCCCAGGGCACAUGAAGGCCUUCCAUCUGUAUUUAAGAAAAGACUUUAUCAGACGAGUAUGGUGGCUCACGCCUGAAUCUUAGCACUUUGGGAGGCUGAGGCAGGUGGAUCACGAGGUCAGGAGUUCAAUACCAGCCUGGCCAAUAUGGUAAAACCCCAUCUCUACUAAAACUACAAAAAUUAGCCAGGCAUGGUGGCGCACGCCUGUAGUCCCAGCUACUCGGGAGGCUGAGGCAGAAGAAUCACUUGAACCCGGGAGGUGGAGGUUACAGUGAGCCAAGAUCGCGCCACUACACUCCAGCCUGGGUGACAGAGUGAGACUCCGUCUCAAAAAAACCAAAAGACUUUAUCUUAUUUCCUAUAUGUUUGUGGUUUCAGUCCUGAUGUAUAAUUUGACCCUAGUUAGAAUGGUUAUCUGAGGAAGUGGCCUGUACGAUUUCUGCUUUUUUAAAUGUGUGGCUCCCUUUCUUCAUUGAUUAACGUAUGAUUAUUUUUAUAAAUGUUCCAUGGCAGUGGGAAGGGAUUCUCUGUCACAUUCCACAUCUGGAUCAGUUCCUCCCCAUUUUGUUGGUCAAAUCCGAUCUGCCAUAUCCUGUGUAAUGACAAGUGAGUUGCAUUCUCACCGUCACUCCUGGGGUCUCUCCGCUUCCCCUGAGCUGGCUCAGCAGUCUGCUCCAUGUGUUUUGAUGCAGGGUGACCCAUUGGUAUUCCCGACACUAACGCCCCCGUCUGUGGACUGCUUGCUGCUUGGGCUUCACUGUGUCUGGUGUUGACAGUGCAGACCUAAAGGUGUGCACACAUGUGCACACACACUCCGCUGUCUUCUUGUUUGCACUGGACUUAAAUAUCUAUGAGGGUUAUUUUCAACUGCUGAAUUUGGAAUGAUUUUUAUAUCUUUUCUGCUUUCUGCCCAUGUACAUGUGUUUAUUUUACACUGUUGUGAUUGGUAGUUACUAUGUGGGGACACAAUUACUUGGGCUGAAAUAAUCCACCUGUUGUGGUUGGGGUCCUCUGGGGCAUUCCAGGGUGAGAGGUUGUCACUGCCACCUGGGCCAUGUGGGCCGGCACCAGCAUUUUGUGGUUACGAAUUCUACAGUCACAAAUAUCUUUGGGCAAAUCCCCUUCUAUACCUCAAGGCAGCUUUUGGUUUGCAACCCCACUGGCCAGAGGGAAGGGCCAGUCACUUGGCUCUCUCACUGCCCUGCGCCCCAGAUGGUUCUAGGGCUGCUGUUUUCCCUUGGCCCUGCCAACACCACUGUUUUUACUUCUGCUCAUUGGCUGAGUGCAGUGGUUCCUGGAAGCCAGUGGCACGUUUCCCCGCGUAGCUCGCUUAUCCCACAGCACACACCCAAGGGUUCUGUUGCUAACACGCUGAAUUAAUUCUUUGCUCAUCUUACAGAGUGUGUUUUGACUGCCCCCAUUUCUGAGGCCUUGUAAGGCCAGAGCUUUGUUGCUUCAUCGGCAGGUUGGGACUUAGAUGGCCGUGAAUGUUUCCUCUCUGCUGCUGCAGUAAGUAAGUGCCCGCACCAUAGUGUGUUUGGAGGCUGAAGUUGAAGCGAGGCUGUGAGGGGAGAUGGACGUGUGAGGAGGGAUGAUGGGGCUUGAGCAAAGUGGGGGAGGGGGCAAAGGCAGUUGGCCCAACACAUUCCCCACCCCUUUGAGAGGUCUGAGGCCUGCAGACCUGGCUCGGAGCCCACCUGGUAGUCCUCAGACUGUGUGUGUGUGUGUGUGUGUGUGUGUGUGUGUGUGUGUGUGUGUGUGUGUGUGUGUGUAAAAGAGAGAAGUUGUGGAGAAAUGGGGGGCUGAUUCUGCUCAGAUUCAUCAGGAUGAGUAGAAGGCACCCAGCUCUCACCCUGGCCUGACAUGUGUGUCCCUGAGCAGGUUACAGUCCUCUCUGAGCCUCUGCUUCCCAUCUGGACCCUGCUGGGCAGGGCUUCUGAGCUCCUUAGCACUAGCAGGAGGGGCUCCAGGGGCCCUCCCUCCAUGGCAGCCAGGACAGGACUCUCAAAUGAGGACAGCAGAGCUCGUGGGGGGCUCCCACGGACCCGCCGUGGGCCCAGGGGAGGCAGAGCCUGAGCCAACAGCAGUGGUGCUGUGGACCGUGGAUCCUGAGGGUGGCCUGGGGCAAGUACCGGCUGAGGGUCCAGGUGGGCUUUGUGUACCUUUGGGUCCUGGGGCCCUGGUGACUUGGACUCCAGGUUAGAGUCAAGUGACAGGAGAAAGGCUGGUGGGGCCCUGUGCUUCCGACUUCAUUUCGAGUGAUGGCAGUUCCCAGGAAGGAAUCCACAGCUGACGGUGGCUGACAGAUCAGAGAAUGGAAGGCGAGGCAGGCGGGCGUCUGCGUGACCUCAGGUGCUUGGGGCCCAGCAGACCCAGAGAACCAUUUCCACUAGGCCAGGGUGCCGGAAGUGUCCACAGGUCUUAGAUUCCCUGUUCAGAUGAAAAGAUUUGUGCCUUUAAUGAUAAAAGUGAUCUGCAUAGAGUCAAAAAUUCAAGCCAUGGGUAUAAAAUGCAAGUAAAAUCCCUGCCCUCACCUAUCCCACCCUACUACACAGAGAUGUCCUCUCGAGUUUCCUAGACUCACUCUGGAAAUUUCUGUAUACACACAGAAGCUUGUGCCUCUGCUCGUGAAGGCAGAGGGAGGGAGAGCUGAAGGGCCAGCACCUUCUCACCUGUGGGCCCCCUCAGUGCUCGGUCCCAGAGCAUGCAGGACUGUGCCUCGUGUUCAGUUUGCUGGUCUGACUUCAUGCUCCUUGGGCAGGAUAUGCAUGUGCCAUGCUAGGAGACAUGUGGAUGUGAAGCUGGGGGACAAUGUCCCCUGGCUAUGCCUUUACAAGGGAAGUAAGGAAGGUAGGAGGUGAGCCUGGGAGGGAGGGAGGGAGGCGCGGAGCCGCCGCAGGUGUUUCUUUUACUGAGUGCAGCCCAUGGCCGCACUCAGGUUUUGCUUUUCACCUUCCCAUCUGUG
rnacentral:lncRNA from 1 species